rnacentral:rRNA from 1 species
ACGCUAGCGGGAGGCCUAACACAUGCAAGCCGAGCGGUAGAAGAUCUUCGGAUCUUUGAGAGCGGCGCACGGGUGCGGAACACGUGUGCAACCUACCUUUAUCUGGGGGAUAGCCUUUCGAAAGGAAGAUUAAUACCCCAUAAUAUAUUUGAUGGCAUCAUUAGAUAUUGAAAACUCCGGUGGAUAGAGAUGGGCACGCGCAAGAUUAGAUAGUUGGUGAGGUAACGGCUCACCAAGUCAGUGAUCUUUAGGGGGCCUGAGAGGGUGAUCCCCCACACUGGUACUGAGACACGGACCAGACUCCUACGGGAGGCAGCAGUGAGGAAUAUUGGACAAUGGGUGAGAGCCUGAUCCAGCCAUCCCGCGUGAAGGGCGACGGCCCUAUGGGUUGUAAACUUCUUUUAUACUGGGAUAAACCUACUUACGUGUAAGUAGCUGAAGGUACAGUAUGAAUAAGCACCGGCUAACUCCGUGCCAGCAGCCGCGGUAAUACGGAGGGUGCAAGCGUUAUCCGGAUUUAUUGGGUUUAAAGGGUCCGUAGGCGGACUCGUAAGUCAGUGGUGAAAUCUCAUAGCUUAACUAUGAAACUGCCAUUGAUACUGCGGGUCUUGAGUAAAGUAGAAGUGGCUGGAAUAAGUAGUGUAGCGGUGAAAUGCAUAGAUAUUACUUAGAACACCAAUUGCGAAGGCAGGUCACUAUGUUUUAACUGACGCUGAUGGACGAAAGCGUGGGGAGCGAAC